rnacentral:rRNA from 1 species
UGGGAAUCUGCCCUUGGGUUCGGGAUAACAGUUGGAAACGACUGCUAAUACCGGAUGAUGACUUCGGUCCAAAGAUUUAUUGCCCAGGGAUGAGCCCGCGUCGGAUUAGCUAGUUGGUGGGGUAAAGGCCUACCAAGGCGACGAUCCGUAGCUGGUCUGAGAGGAUGAUCAGCCACAUUGGGACUGAGACACGGCCCAAACUCCUACGGGAGGCAG